GCAGGAACUGCGGGCAGCUCUUCUGUCAGAAGUGCAGUCGAUUUCAGUCAGAAAUAAAGCGACUGAAAAUCUCGUCCCCAGUGCGUGUCUGCCAGAACUGCUACUAUAGCUUACAGCACGAGAGGGGGGCAGACGAUGGGCCUCGGAACUGCUGAGACAGACGGCGGGACUGACGAGAGGCCACAGCCUGAAGGAGCUCUUCCUGCCCCGUCAUGGCUCCAAAGGCACUGAAGCAGACUCCGUUUACACAGAUCUGCACACUGAGUGUCUGAAGUGUUGAGUUCAAAGGGAUCAUUGGAUCGGGUUCCGAGGCCAGUGACCGGCACGGGCACUAAACCGUUAGCAGCACAAGAACGCAAGGUGGUCCCGGAGCAUCUCAGAACCCGAGUCUCCCAUAGCGUAGCUGUCUCCGAGAGCAAACUCCUGCUCCCCAACUGUCUUUCUUGUAUCUCAUUUUUAUAGAGCUAUUCAUCCUUAUUUGGAAAAAUCAACAAAAACUUUAAAAAAAAAGGCUUCUAGAAAAUGGUUGUAAAUCUGACUUCUUUGCAAGCAGCUGUGUAUAUUGUAAAUAGGUAUAAAGGCCUUUUUUUUUUUCUAAAUAAGGACCUAAUUGCCUGUAACAUGAGACUUCAAACUAAGCCACUAACUCAAUGAACCAUUUAAGGUCUGUCUAACGUCUCUCAAUUAUAAAUAUGGGGUUUUUCUAAUCCUCAGAGACAUUGUCCUUUUUUUUUUUUUUUUUUUUUUUUUUCCUGUUCAGACCAAGCCUGUGUGCCUGAUGUCACUUCUUUCAAGUUGCCCACAGCGUCUCCACUUAAGAUAGGCUAGUCACCAAAAUCCUGUAGCCCUGCUUUAGGAGCUGGUGUGGGAGGAGAGAGGUCUGGUCAUAAGGUAGCCGCAGAUAGCCAGCACCGGUCUGAGGCUGCUUACUGCUCCAGUGUAGUAGUUGUGUGCCCGACCCCUGAAACUGACCCUCGGGCUGUGUGGUCCCAGCCCGGCCCGGCAUCACGGAAAGGGGAUCACACAAUGGAUGUCCGGCAGGAUGCAGCCCUGCCUCAGUUAACGGAAAUAUAUUUGCAUGUCACCCCAAAUUAGCUUCUCUGCAUAGAACAUAACAAGUGUGUGUAUUUGGGGACACGUGUGUUCUACUACAGCUUAUUUUCGGAAGAAAAAAAGGUGUACAGAAUUAACAUUCAAACCUUGUAAAACUGGAUCAUGUCAGAAGUGCUUCAAAUGAACCUUUACCGUUUCAUGCCAUCUACCUGAAAACAGUGAGAUUUAUACUGUACCAAUGUCUAUUUUUUUGGUUUUGCUAUGAAUAUAAUUACAGUAUUUUAAUAUUUAGUUAUUUAAUUUGUUGUACUAGUUGGAUACCGAAGGCACACAUUCAGGAGGAUGAAAGCUGGUCGGGGCUAAGAGACGUUUAUAGGAAAAUGGCUUUGGUGGUGGGAUUUUUUUAAAUGUGUGUUAUGUACAUAAAUAUAAAUAUAUAUAUAUAUAUGAAAUCGAAACAAUUAAUCUAGAUUUUAACAUUUUCAGAUACUUAGCACUAAUACUAUGAACAAUUCUAAAAGCCCUGUGAUUUGAACAACAUGGGUUCACUAAUGGCCCAAGAAAGAAAGGACAGGCCUUGACACCCUCACAGAGGGAGGUUUCUAGCAAAGGACAGUGGCUUUGGCUUCCCUCACUCUCCAUCUUUAGCCCUGGUGACAGGCACACUUAUGCACUAAAUGCACAUAUAUGCACAUGUGUCCAGAAACAGGCAUGUGGUACAACGGUGACCUUGUACCCUAUGGGCUGAAAGCAGCUGCAGAACAAACUUGUUCUUCCUGACAAGCAGGUCUCCAGGAGAAACGGUGAAGGCUGCUUUAGUGCCUUAUGCUUCCUAAAUUUAAACCUUCCUUUAUAGGUUUCAGCCUCCAGUCUGUGAUACAUAUCAGAAUUGACUCAAACACUUCCAUUUCUAAACGCUCAAAUACACACGUGAACAAAAGGAUUGUCGGCAUUAACGCUUUCCACUUGAAAACUUGCUUUGCUUUCUCCUCCUCUUCGGUGUCUCACACCCCGCCCCCCCCCCCCCCUCCCGCUCCCCCAGCCCGUCCCUGUCUUCAGAAGGACUCUGGUGUUCCUCCACUGCAGAAACUGCUUUUGCAUGGUGGUGGGCUGGCCCUGGCUGCCUCUGGAUGCUUUGCAACAGUGUUACUUUACACUUUUGAAAAGCAGCGCCCUCCUGUGGCAGAGGUGUUUUCAAGACUUGAACUUAGGAGUGUGUGUGUAGCCACUUGAAGCUUGUUCCGCUGUCUAACCUGACUGACGUGCUGUGGGACAAAGGCUCUUCAACUUUCCAGCCCAACUCCCAUAACUAGUAGGUGGAAACCAAACCCCUCCUUCCCUCUGGCAGCUGGUGCUGUGGGCAACUGUCUUGUUUCCACCAGCUUUUGGUUUUUGUUUUCUUUUCACUUCUGCAGAAAUCACAGAGCCACUCCUCCCUCCCCCCGGGCACUGGGCUCCAUUGCUCGUCUGGCUAUGUAUCCCCCGUGUUCUGUGCCAAUCUGCUUACCAAUAUACACGAUGUGUGUCCACCUUCCCGUGGUCUGCAUUCUUUUUCUAAGUACCUCACAGGGCUCCAGCCUGACCUCUGUUCACCCUUCACCCAUCCACCCACUGCUCAUCCAUGCACUCAACACACACCCGAGUGUAGUGUGCAAGUGUGACGUCAUGCUUUUGAAGACGAGAAGUAGCUGCCCGUAGCAGCCAGCCCUCUGGAGAAUAGCAAAACACUCUAGAUAAGUUAUUUUGCACUUUCUUAUGUAUAAAGGUGGUAGAAACUUAUUUUUGCUUUGUAUCAUUUAAAUACAUUUUGUUUUUGGUAAACAACUGUGUAUAAAAUAUUUACGCUGUUAAAGCUGUUUUUAGAAAGUAUUUUUAAUUUCAGCAAGUUUGCUUACUUGUUGCAUGACCAUUAACACAACUGACUUUUUGUGUCAGUGCCAUGUAUAUUUCUGUCCUGUCAUUAACUUGUAAGCCCUAGUAACGGCUAAUCGUUUGUACAGCAACAGAAGUAAACCGAAGAUACUGGCUAAGACUGGAUUGAUUGUGGACUUUUGUACUGUAUUGCAAAAUCCGAUCUCUGUUUCUCUGGUGGUUGUGUAAAGGCUGAGGAAUUCCUACCAUGUGCAGUCUGUGGUCUGGGUGUUCACUGUAUCUCUGUCUGAUGCAUAAAGGUAGGCAGUCGCAGCCCGUGCUAAAUGCAAUAGUCCAGGUACUUAAGUAUUUUUUUCAUUUCAAAUAAAUACCUACUAUUUACCACAAAAAAA
rnacentral:lncRNA from 1 species